rnacentral:lncRNA from 1 species
CAAAACAGGCCCAGAAGAGAAGAGGGAUUGGCGAGAGGCCGUGGCCUCCCUUCUCCAGGUCCUGGAGGCCUCUGUCUUGAGAGUCCACACCAGACCCAGGGCGUUCCCAGGAUGCCUGUUCCUUUCGGCUCAGUUAGUUCUCAGUUGCUUAGAACAAGACCAGAGGGUGCAGCGUGAGGUGAUCCAGCUCUGGGGACAGGAGCUGAUGAUGGAGCAGGUGCCGGAGGGGCAGGGGAGGUAGAAAGUGCCGUGCAGGUGGCCAUGGUUGAGAAAGGCAGCCAGCCGCUCAGGUAUUUAUUGAGCACCUCCUGUGUUUCAGGCACAGUCUCGUUUGCAGGGGCACAGCAGUGAACAGAACAAACUCUUCUUGCCUUUGCGGAGCUUUCUUUCUGCAUGACCUCUGGCCUUCUCUGUAGCAUGUUGGGCAUGUGUCAGCUUUGGGAUGCAGUGAUGAUGGCUGGCCACCUAUCAGCAAGCUGCAAUAGGACUGUGGUCCAGGCUUGAUGAAAGGUCUUAAGUCCAGGAAAAGGGGGCUGGCCUUUCAGUCUUCUCGACCUAACCUGGGAAAGGCCCAGAGCUUCCUUGGCUUUGGGAUGGGGGUGGGGCAAAACUGGGUCAUUGUUGAAAACAACAGGCAAUGGGGCUGUCACCACUGCAAGGCCUUGCCAAGAAUGUUAUCAAUAGCCUCCAGGUGCCCAUCAGCUGGAGAUGCCAGGCACACAGACUCUGCUCCUGCCUGCUGCUUGGCCUUUGGCUCUGCUUUUAUGUCCUUGUCUGAGGCUCUCCCUUAAACAUCUUCUGAACCCAGCAACUUGCCUCUGCUUGAAUAGCACAACAGUGGAGGUAGGCAGGCUACCAUCCUGGGCUCCAGAGUCUGGACAGGUGCCCAAGGCAGGCCCCUGUGCAGGACAGCCAGCCCUGGAUGGUGUCCUGUGUUCCAGUUGGCCCUGGGCAGGUGUUCUGAUCUCUUCAUCGUAUAGAGGCUGCAGAAACUGAGCUACGAGUCCAGGGGUCAGGCGGCCCUGCCUACCCCCGGUACACAGGUGUGCCUUGUCGGGAGAGGCUAGUGCAGCAAUGCCGUGGGGACAGGGGCCUGGAGAGGCUCAGGAAGGCAAGAGUUGGUUCUGGGUGGGGUGUGGGAUCUAGGUGGAGUCCCUUUGCUGUGUGACUUUACCCAGGCUGUCACCCUCUCUGAGCCUUAGUCUCCUCACUGCCAAGAUGGUUGUCAGGGACAGUGGGUGCUCAGGCUGGCUGGUUUUUUGCAGGGUAGGCAGCAGGCACCUGGGGCAAGAAAGGGUGGCACCAAGCGGGGGGACACUCCUCGGAGGGAAGGGUCCUAUCACCAUCCAGAGAAAAAAACGAGCUGGAGAAAGGUCACCCAGUCUGUCCCUCGUGGCCUGUGUCUGCAUGUGUGCGUCUUUAUGUGCUCAGGCAUGUCUUUCCACGUGCAUUUGAUGUGUGUGUGUGGUGAGUAUGUGUGGCUUGCACCACUGCCCUGGGGAUGGCAGGCCCAAGUGUUGACAACCAGGGUGUCCCACUCGGCUUACCUGGUUCAUGGCUGAAGUCAGGUCCUGCAGGAACAGUCUGAUUUUCGGAUUAGUUGCGGGUGUUCUGAGAUGAAAUAACAUCUCUUCCGGAGAAAGGGAAGCACAGGCGGAGAGCAGGUUGUGAAAAGGAGCACCCAGGCACGCUCCCUUGGAAUUUCUGGGAGCCCUGCCGUCAACCCCCCUCCUCAGCAGCUCCUGGGCUGUGGGGCUGCAAGCACAGCAUGAGGUGCGAGGGUGUGCCGGGGCCCUCCCCACCUUUGCCCCCAGCACCCAGGCCUCGCCUCAGCUCCCUUCCCAUCUCCACUUUCCAGGUGAGACUCGGUCCGUGCCCCGCUGUUUGUCUUUUUAGGGCCACACCUGCGGUAUAUGGGGAAGUGGCCAGGCCAGGGGGCGAAUUGGAGCUGCAGCUGUGCCUGUGCCACAGCAGCAUGGGUCCUCACCCCACUAAGCAGGGCCAGGCAUCGAGCCUGUGUCCUCAUGGAUCCAAGUUGGGUUCAUUACCACUGCGCCACGAUGGGAACUUGCCAGGCCACACUUUUGAUCUUGUAGUGGGCGGCGGAGUUGCCGGGAACUCAGAGCAGGACCAUUGAGCGAGGCUUUGAAGGAUGAGUAGGAGUUGGCUGUGUGUGAGGGGCAAGGAUGCCUCAUUGUUCUAAAAUUUGGUGAUGUGGAAGCACCGAGAGGCAGCCGUGAUUGUACCAGCUGGCCCCUCGGGCCCCCCUCUGAGCGCCUGGCCAGAGCACCUCCCAAGGCCCUGACACAGUCACAUUGGGGGUUAAGGUUUCAACAGGAGUUUGGGGCAGGGGCACCGACGUUCUCUACAGCAUGAGAUGAGGCCCUGCGGCCCCACGGGCUCUGUGCCUGCUGUGUGCCAGGUGCGCUCCUAGGGCAGGACUCUGGUCUGCAGCCUGAGGAGCCACGUGCAGUUUCAGGCAACUUAAGACAUGGACACAGGGAUGUGUGGGGGCGGGCCGGAAGGAGAAAUUCAAAAUGGUAAGUGUUCUGUGUCUGGGUGCUGCAACUGGGUUUUUCUUAUCUUCAUUUUCCGAUUUUUCAACAAGGAACAUGUGUUGUUAUUUCCUGCGUUUGGCAGCCUGAGCUCCCACCCCCCACCUUCCGGGUCCCUCCCCUAUGCCAGGGUCCUCCGUGCGCUGGGGGACGAGGGAGGGAGGAUCCGUUCAGGUCUCGAGUGCAGCGCCUCGAGCUCCGAAGCCUCUUGUCUCCCUCUGCGAAAGUGAGCAUGUGCAGUGGAACGCUGUGGGGAGCUGGCCGCCCUUGAUGCCCCAUCUGUCAAAUGGGGCUGUCUGGGUUCGUGGUCACCAUCGCAGCAGACCCCAAAGAGCUGUCCUGGGUGCAGGUGGGGCUGGGGGCCGGCCCUUCUGUCUCCUUUUCUGAAGCUGUGUGGGUCUGGCUGCCUUCCAAGAGGGUGACACGGAGCUUUGGUGAGGCGGCAGAAGGCGCAUCAGAUUGACCUGCAAACAAGACACUUGGUUCUUGCUUUUCAGGCGCACCCAAGGGGUGAUCCCACCUGCCCAGUGCCAGGGAAACUGUCCCCUGAGUCCUGCCUCAUCUGAGGCUGGGGUGCCACCUCCCACCUCCCCCAAACCCGGCCGUGUCUUUGUCCUGUUGGUGUGCUCCCAGACCCCAGGGUCCUCUUCAGAGGCCUGGUGGCAAAGACCCAGCCCCGAGGAGCUGGAGCUCAGUGCCUGGUGCGCACGAGACCUGGUCUCUGCUCCCUGGUCCUCGGGCCCCCUUCACCUUAAAUCUCCCUGUUCCCUCCCACCACGGCUUUUGGCCAGGUGUGGGCCAU